GGGGGGGGGCGGCUGGAGGAACGAGCAGGGCAACGUUGUGUCCUGCCUCGGGUUUCAUUUGCACCGCAAGCCGGUGCCUUUCUGCUGCAAGCAAAGAGCUUCGGAUUCGUACUCAUCCUCUGAAGGCAGCCGGCAGCGUGUGGGACUCCACCAUGGACCACAAGAUCCAGUGGCUCUGGCCACGCUAGGGAACAAAACAAAACACUCCUCACCGGCGCAGCCACUUGUUCAGCUGCAGUUGAAGAUGCCUCGGUGCAGAUUUAAACCCGGCAGAAAUGGAACCGGUGAAAUGGAAGUAGCGGCUGGAGCCUCAUCUGUGCGAAGGAUCCUGCCAGCACAGCUGUACCACUGACAGCAGUGGAAUAUUUUGCUCAAGUUCUCUAGAGGAAUCAAAGCCUGUAUUUUCUGUCUCUGGCUCUCCCUUGUUCUGUUGCUCCUCGCUCAUUAAAAGAAAAGUCAGCCACACAAAGCACAUGGUUGGUCUCUGUGUUUAGGAAAAAAAAAAAAGUUUUGGGGAAAAAACCAACAGCCAAAGCUGUUUUGAAGUCAGAGGCAUGUAAACAGUACCUGGAACUAAGUGGAAUAAUAAUCAUAAUAAUAAUAAUUAGUCCUUUUGUGUCAUAAAUAUCGCUGUCUGCUGUUUCAUUAUGAGACAGCACAACUUCUGAGAAUGUGCCCGAUGAAUAUUUGGGGGAACUCUGCCUCCAGCUGCAGCAGCGUAGGGCAGCACUAAUGCCUCUGGCUCCUCUGGCUUGCUUAUGUAACUGAAAUCACAAAUUAGAGCCCAAAUUACAAAGCAUAAGCAUGUGUACAAUAUUAAGCAUAUAAAUGGUGCCUGAAAUUACUAUCGUUUUCCUUUAGGUCUGGCUUUCAUCUAUUUGUCUUUUUACUUCUGCAGUUCUACUGAUUUCAAUGGGUGCUGGUGCCAUGCAUAGGAUAACCAAGCCUAACCCAAACUUAACUAAGACAGACCAAAAUCACUCUGGUUACAGGUAGGUGUAGUUUAAAUGACUCGUAUACCAGAUCUUGGGUGUAUCCAGCAUUAUGAUGCUAUAGAAAGCAGAACAUAAUGUCCCUGUGGCUGCUUUGCCAGGCAGAGCAGCAGGCUUUGGCACCCCAGCCCAAUCCCCUUCCUUUGUGUUUUCUCUCUUUCUUAGAGACUAUUUUUGCCAUUAACAUGCUGAGCUGCUUUCUGGAGUUUUAAGGUGUUGCGUGCUGAUACAGUGAGCACCUCUUGUAUCUGUUUAAUCCAAUAACAACUCUUGUUUAAUCUCCACGUCUGGGUCACAGGGUUUAAAAAAGACACUGGGCCAAAUCCCCAGCUUGGCUACAACGUGUGGAAAUCUACCAAGAAGACACAAAAGUCAGAAGAGAUUCGCUGUAUUUGCACUGUGUAAAAGAGCUCUCAAGGGGCAGGGAUGCGAGUGCCUCAUUUUGCAGAUGGAUGCAUAUUAACACAAGUGUAUGGCAGAGUCAGAUCACAUUUCUGUCAGGAAAAAACCCCAACUCUUUUCUUUUCCCAUGUCUGGCUGCUAAAAGGAAUAUGAUGUUUCACAGACUCAAGACCAAGGCAGGGCAAGAACAAGGAGAAGGUUUUGCAGGGACUGGAAAGAUUUUACAUGUAAACAUUAAAAUUUAAAAAGCAAAAUUUAUCCAGGCACAAAGUCCAGCAGAAAUCUAGGGGACAAAGUAAACAGUACUGUCUGUAAAGAAGGGUAUAAACAGGAAUGGUGAAAAGAUGGUCUGAAUAAGUCAAUCACAUCAACAACUCUCCAAACACAAUUUUCUAUGCAAAACUAUAUGGGGGCAAUCUUCAUGGUUCCCCUCUAAGGCAAAGGAUCCUGAGCAUGAAAAAGGGAGGCAGAUUUUGUGAGGGAUUUGCACAUCAUGCAGUGACUCUGGAUUGCAGAUUUUAAGCAUUACUAAACCCGGGAAUAGAAUUGUUGCUAUUGCUAUUACAUACCAGGAUAUCUCACUAAUCCACUCAAUCCACUAAGUUGGUGUAGUUUUAGUCUGUGUUUAUUUUAGACGAAAUUAUGGCCCGGACAGUUAAUUUUUCUUAGUUUAUCCAUUUAAUUCAUUUAUAAAUAAGAUAUCAAACAGAAAUCAAAACAUGACCUGUGUUUUUGGUACACUCUCCAUCAUGUGAACCUGCUGGUUUACAAGUCAAACACAAAGACAACUAAAACCCACAGGUCUUCUUGAAAAGUAGCCCCACAGUCUUUAAAUUCUAUGAUCAAUGUGAUUUUAAUGCUACAGGUGGCCUAUUUUACUUGUAUUCGAGACUGCCUAGCCAUUAUGGGAUUGACUCCACUGGUCCUCUUCUUACUUCAAGUUAAUUACAUAUUAAUGUGAAGCAUGUCUGAAAGGCUGGACCUGGCCCUUUCUGGACAGCAGUUGAGUUUAGAAAUGCCUGUUCCUUGACAGGAGCUGAUUCCUAAAGUGAGGGGCAAAUUCAGAGGAGCUAAACAGUCUGGAACCAAAGUGGUCACGCUGGCUUUUGGAAGAAGUGGAGCGUCUCAAGUUAAUUGAUGCUCAGCUACCUGGAAAUAAAAAACUCUCAUAUAGCCCAAGGUUUUCACCAUGAUUUUCAAGAGCUCCUGAGCAACUUGAAGUCCUUGAAAGGAAUCCACUAUAGAAUGACAAAUAUAGGUAUUAUUAAAGAAUAUCUCCAAACUGAAAGCCAGCCAGUUUCAUAAAAAUGAGCUAAAACCCAAUAACAGAUACUCUGUCUUCUGCUGGAUGCUGUAUGAACCGUAUGUUUUGCAUUUUUGAAGUCACUUCUAAAACAAUGUUUUUUUUUCUUCACUAUUGCUAUUGGGAAGAACAGUAAAAGAACUGUGCAUAAAUGAGGUUAAAGUAAUCUAAUUAAAAAAAAAAACCAACCCCAAAACAAAACCCA